rnacentral:rRNA from 1 species
AGAACGAACGCUGGCGGCAUGCUUAACACAUGCAAGUUGAACGGACUAAUUUGGGGCUUGCUCCGAAUUAGUUAGUAGCAGACGGGUGAGUAACACGUGGGAAUCUACCCAUCAGUACGGAAUAACAUUUGGAAACAAAUGCUAAUACCGUAUAUUCUCUUCGGAGGAAAGAUUUAUCGCUGAUGGAUGAGCCCGCGUCAGAUUAGGUAGUUGGUGGGGUAAUGGCCUACCAAGCCUACGAUCUGUAGCUGGUCUGAGAGGAUGAUCAGCCACACUGGGACUGAGACACGGCCCAGACUCCUACGGGAGGCAGCAGUGGGGAAUAUUGGACAAUGGGCGAAGCCUGAUCCAGCAAUGCCGCGUGAAUGAUGAAGGCCUUAGGGUUGUAAAGUUUCUUUAACAGGGAAGAUAAUGACGGUACCUGUAGAUAAGCCCGGCUACUCCGUGCCAGCAGCCGC